rnacentral:rRNA from 1 species
GAUGAACGCUAGCGGCAGGCUUAAUACAUGCAAGUCGAGGGACAGCACAGGUAGCAAUACUGGGUGGUAACCGGCAAACGGGUGCGGAACACGUACACAACCUUCCUUUAAGUGGGGGAUAGCCCAGAGAAAUUUGGAUUAAUACCCCGUAAUAUAGUUGAAUGGCAUCAUUUGAUUAUUAUAGCUACGGCGCUUAAUGAUGGGUGUGCGGCUGAUUAGAUAGUUGGCGGGAUAACGGCCCACCAAGUCUACGAUCAGUAGCUGAUGUGAGGGCAUGAUCAGCCAAACGGGAACUGAGACACGGGCCCGACUCCUACGGGAGGCAGCAGUAAGGAAUAUUGGUCAAUGGACGCAAGUCUGAACCAGCCAUGCCGCGUGAAGGAUUAAGGUCCUCUGGAUUGUAAACUUCUUUUAUUUGGGACGAAAAUGGGCCUUUCUAGGUCAACUGACGGUACCAGAUGAAUAAGCACCGGCUAACUCCGUGCCAGCAGCCGCCGUAAAAC